rnacentral:rRNA from 1 species
AUACGUAGGGUGCAAGCGUUAAUCGGAAUUACUGGGCGUAAAGCGUGCGCAGGCGGUUUUGUAAGACAGGGGUGAAAUCCCCGGGCUCAACCUGGGAACUGCCAUUGUGACUGCAAGGCUGGAGUGCGGCAGAGGGGGAUGGAAUUCCGCGUGUAGCAGUGAAAUGCGUAGAUAUGCGGAGGAACACCGAUGGCGAAGGCAAGCCCCUGGGCCUGCACUGACGCUCAUGCACGAAAGCGUGGGGAGCAAACAGGAUUAGAUACCCUGGUAGUCCACGCCCUAAACGAUGUCAACUGGUUGUUGGGGAUUUAUUUUCUCAGUAACGAAGCUAACGCGUGAAGUUGACCGCCUGGGGAGUACGGCCGCAAGGUUAAAACUCAAAUGAAUUGGCGGGG